rnacentral:rRNA from 1 species
UAGGGAAUCUUCCGCAAUGGGCGAAAGCCUGACGGAGCAACGCCGCGUGAGUGAUGAAGGUCUUCGGAUCGUAAAACUCUGUUAUUAGGGAAGAACAAAUGUGUAAGUAACUAUGCACGUCUUGACGGUACCUAAUCAGAAAGCCACGGCUAACUACGUGCCAGCAGCCGCGGUAAUACGUAGGUGGCAAGCGUUAUCCGGAAUUAUUGGGCGUAAAGCGCGCGUAGGCGGUUUUUUAAGUCUGGUGUGAAAGCCCAGGGCUCAACCGUGGAGGGUCAUUGGAAACUGGAAAACUAGAGUGCAGAAGAGGAGAGUGGAAUUCCAUGUGUAGCGGUGAAAUGCGGAGAGAUAUGGAGGAACACCAGUGGCGAAGGCGACUUUCUGGUCUGUAACUGACGCUGAUGUGCGAAAGCGUGGGGAUCAAACAGG